rnacentral:rRNA from 1 species
AUUGAACGCUGGCGGCGUGCCUAAUACAUGCAAGUCGAACGGAGUGGCGCACGGGUGAGUAAUGUAUAGCUAAUCCGCCCUACACUAGAGGACAACAGUUGGAAACGACUGCUAAUACUCUAUAGUGUAGGAUGAGGCUAUAUUGUAUCAGCUAGUUGGUGAGGUAAUGGCUCACCACGGCUAUGACGCAUAACUGGUCUGAGAGGAUGAUGAGUCGAACUGUAAGUGAGACACGGUCCGGGCACCUGCGGGAGGGAGCGGUAGGGAAUAGUGCUCAAUGGGGGUGACCCUGAGGCAGCAACGCCGCGUGGAGGAAGACACUUUUCGGGGCGUAAACUCCUUUUGUUAGGGAAGCGGUACCUAACGAAUAAGCACCGGCUAACUCCGUGCCAGCAGCCGCGGUAAUAC